rnacentral:rRNA from 1 species
CUACGGGCGGCUGCAGUGGGGAAUCUUGCACAAUGGGCGCAAGCCUGAUGCAGCCAUGCCGCGUGUGUGAAGAAGGCCUUCGGGUUGUAAAGCACUUUCAGCGGGGAGGAAGGCGUUAAGGUUAAUAACCUUGUCGAUUGACGUUACCCGCAGAAGAAGCACCGGCUAACUCCGUGCCAGCAGCCGCGGUAAUACGGAGGGUGCAAGCGUUAAUCGGAAUUACUGGGCGUAAAGCGCACGCAGGCGGUCUGUCAAGUCGGAUGUGAAAUCCCCGGGCUCAACCUGGGAACUGCAUUCGAAACUGGCAGGCUAGUGUCUUGUAGAGGGGGGUAGAAUUCCAGGUGUAGCGGUGAAAUGCGUAGAGAUCUGGAGGAAUACCGGUGGCGAAGGCGGCCCCCUGGACAAAGACUGACGCUCAGGUGCGAGAGCGUGGGGAGCAAACAGGAUUAGAUACCCGGGUAGUC